rnacentral:rRNA from 1 species
AUUGAACGCUGGCGGCAGGCCUAACACAUGCAAGUCGAACGGUAACAGGAAGCAGCUUGCUGCUUCGCUGACGAGUGGCGGACGGGUGAGUAAUGUCUGGGAAGCUGCCUGAUGGAGGGGGAUAACUACUGGAAACGGUAGCUAAUACCGCAUAAUGUCGCAAGACCAAAGAGGGGGACCUUCGGGCCUCUUGCCAUCGGAUGUGCCCAGAUGGGAUUAGCUUGUUGGUGGGGUAACGACUCACCAAGGCGACGAUCCCUAGCUGGUCUGAGAGGAUGACCAGCCACACUGGGACUGAGACACGGUCCAGACUCCUACGGGAGGCAGCAGUGGGGAAUAUUGCACAAAGGGCGCAAGCCUGAUGCAGCCAUGCCGCGUGUAUGAAGAAGGCCUUCGGGUUGUAAAGUACUUUCAGCGGGGAGGAAGGGAGUAAAGUUAAUACCUUUGCUCAUUGACGUUACCCGCAGAAGAAGCACCGGCUAACUCCGUG